rnacentral:rRNA from 1 species
GGCGGCGAGUGGCGGACGGGUGAGUAAUGCUUGGGAAUCUGCCCAGUAGUGGGGGACAACCCGGGGAAACCCGGGCUAAUACCGCAUACGUCCUACGGGAGAAAGCGGGGGAUCUUCGGACCUCGCGCUAUUGGAUGAGCCCAAGUCGGAUUAGCUAGUUGGUAGGGUAACGGCCUACCAAGGCGACGAUCCGUAGCUGGUCUGAGAGGACGAUCAGCCACACCGGAACUGAGACACGGUCCGGACUCCUACGGGAGGCAGCAGUGGGGAAUAUUGGACAAUGGGCGCAAGCCUGAUCCAGCAAUGCCGCGUGUGUGAAGAAGGCCUGCGGGUUGUAAAGCACUUUCAGCAGGGAAGAACAGCGUGGGGCUAAUAUCCCCGCGUCCUGACGUCACCUGCAGAAGAAGCACCGGCUAACUCCGUGCCAGCAGCCGCGGUAAUACGGAGGGUGCGAGCGUUAAUCGGAAUUACUGGGCGUAAAGCGCACGUAGGCGGCUUGGUAAGUCGAAUGUGAAAGCCCCGGGCUUAACCUGGGAACUGCAUCCGAAACUGCCUGGCUGGAGUAAGGGAGAGGGAAGCGGAAUUUCCGGUG